GAGUCCGCAUCACUGAAGCCAGCUAGGAGAAAGGUGCCUUCUUAACAACAGAGCAAAGCACAAAUGCCUUUCCCCAAAUGUGCAAUUAUCACAGCAGAAUGAGAAAGAAAUGGAAUUGCAGUGCCCACAGCUACUGUGGAUAAAGGUAGAAUUGAAAAUGGGGGGUGGAGGCACUGGCUAAGAGCAAGCUCUGUCGGGCACCCAUGUGGCCCCCAAGACACCUGUGUACCUGUAGCACAGAAAAUUCAACAGGUCGGAGGAACACUGACCCUGAGGAAAAAGCACUUAGGGCAUAUUUCAUCUGAAGUAAAACAAACACUUUCUUGGGUUCAACAAAAAGCAAGUGCAAAAUUCACCAGAAGUUACAGGGAUAGAGGGAACUGCCCAGCAGGGGGUGGCGGCUCUGGCUGUGUGACCUGACCUGGGUGCUCCUCCGGUGCUAUUUGGGUUUGUUGAUGUUGUUUGGUUUUUGAGACAGGGUCUUGCCAUGUAGUCCAGGCUGACCUUGAAAUUGCUAUGUAGCUCAGGUUGGCCUCGGACUUGUGAUCCUCCUGCCUCAGCCUCCUGGCCUCAUCUAAUGUUGUUUGAGAGACCAGAGAAGUUUACCUGCCUUAGGAACGACUGCAUAUAGAAACAGCUCAGAGCUCACCACCUUCACCUUUGAAGAAAGGGAUUCUCACCUCUAAGCUACAUCUGUGGCUCAGUUGCUUCAGGAAAUUGAUACUCCACCAAGAGAAAUGAUCAGAAUUAACUUUCGGUUUUGACUAAUUUCCUUUGCUGGCUUGCAGUCGGGUGCUCCCAGAGUCUCUCAGGACUCCAGGAGGGAAACUUGAUCUUCCACAGAAACCACAGCCUGGACAUGGCCACAGCACUGUGCUACGUUUGGCCUGAGAACAAGAGCGCGCCACCAUGAUGAGCAGGGCCUUUGUGAGAGCAGCACUCAUCUGCCACCUCCUGGGCACACAUGCACCUUCUGGGGCUGCCCCGGGGCAGACUUGCUGCCCCUGCUCAUGGGACACCAUUUCUGCUGGGUGACUCAUGGUACAAUGACACGGCUUCAUCGCUUUUGACUCACAAAGCGAUUUCCUAUCACGAAGCACCUGGGAUAAAAGUCUUCAUUCACAGCCUGGCUUGGUGGUGCACACCUGCUAUGCCAGCACACGGCGAGGCUGGGCAGCUUUGUGAGAUCCUGUCUCAAAAUAAAAAAUAA
rnacentral:lncRNA from 1 species